rnacentral:rRNA from 1 species
UACGGGGGGAGCAAGCGUUAUCCGGAUUCACUGGGUUUAAAGGGUGCGUAGGCGGGCAGGAAAGUCCGUGGUGAAAUCUCUGAGCUUAACUCAGAAACUGCCAUGGAUACUAUUUGUCUUGAAUAUUGUGGAGGUAAGCGGAAUAUGUCAUGUAGCGGUGAAAUGCUUAGAUAUGACAUAGAACACCAAUUGCGAAGGCAGCUUACUACACAGUUAUUGACGCUGAGGCACGAAAGCGUGGGGAUCAAACAGG